rnacentral:rRNA from 1 species
CCUACGGGUGGCUGCAGUGAGGAAUAUUGGUCAAUGGCCGUGAGGCUGAACCAGCCAAGUCGCGUGAAGGAUGAAUGAUCUAUGGUUUGUAAACUUCUUUUAUAGGGGAAUAAAGUUAUCCACGUGUGGCUAUUUGCAUGUACCCUAUGAAUAAGCAUCGGCUACCUCCGUGCCAGCAGCCGCGGUAAUACGGAGGAUCCGAGCGUUAUCCGGAUUUAUUGGGUUGAAAGGUGGCGUAGAUUGUUUUUUAAGUCAGGGGUGAAAGUUUGUGGCUCAACCAUAAAAUUGCAGUUGCAACUGGAAGACUUGAGUGUGUUUGAGGUAGGCGGAAUGCGUGGUGUAGCGGUGAAAUGCAUAGAUAUCACGAAGAACUCCGAUUGCGAAGGCAGCUUACUAAGCCAUAACUGACACUGAUGCACGAAAGCGUGGGGAUCAAACAGGAUUAGAUACCCCUGUAGUC